rnacentral:rRNA from 1 species
UACGUAGGGUGCGGGCGUUGUCCGGAAUUAUUGGGCGUAAAGGGCUCGUAGGCGGUUUGUCGCGUCGGGAGUGAAAAUCCAGGGCUUAACUCUGGACUGGCUUCCGAUACGGGCAGACUAGAGGUAUGCAGGGGAGAACGGAAUUCCUGGUGUAGCGGUGAAAUGCGCAGAUAUCAGGAGGAACACCGGUGGCGAAGGCGGUUCUCUGGGCAUUACCUGACGCUGAGGAGCGAAAGUGUGGGGAGCGAACAGG